rnacentral:rRNA from 1 species
GACGAACGCUGGCGGCGUGCUUAACACAUGCAAGUCGAACGGACAGGCCCUGCUUUUGUUGGGUGCUCGAGUGGCGAACGGGUGAGUAACACGUGAGUAACCUGCCCUUGACUUUGUGAUAUCUUCAGGAAACUGGGGCUCAUACCGGAUAGGAGCUCCUGCUGCAUGUGGGGGGUUGGAAAGUUUCGGCGGUUGGGGCUGGACUGGCGGCUUAUCAGCUUGUUGGUGGGGUAGGGGCUUACCAAGGCUUUGACGGGUAGCCGGCCUGAGAGGGUGACCGGCCACAUUGGGACUGCGAGAGGGAGCAGAAUCCUACGGGAGGCAGCAGUGGGGAAUAUUGCACAAUGGGCGGAAGCCUGAGGCAGCAACGCCGCGUGCGGGAUGACGGCCUUCGGGUGGUAAACCGCUUUCGCCGGUGACGAAGCGUGAGUGACGGUAAUGGGUAAAGAAGCACCGGCUAACUACGUG